rnacentral:rRNA from 1 species
GACGAACGCUGGCGGCGUGGAUUAGGCAUGCAAGUCGAACGGUAUCAUCCUUUCGGGGAUGAGAGAGUGGCGAACGGGUGAGUAACACGUAGGUGAUCUACCCUCAAGACGGGGACAACCCAGGGAAACUUGGGCUAAUACCGGAUGUGAGCUAUCGUGAGAUAGUUUGAAAGGUGGCUUCGGCUGCCGCUUGAGGAUGAGCCUGCGUCCUAUUAGCUAGUUGGUGAGGUAACGGCUCACCGAGGCAGUGAUAGGUAGGCGGCCUUAACGGGUGGUCGCCCACACUGGGAUUGAGAUACGGCCCAGACUCCUACGGGAGGCAGCAGUCGAGAAUAGUCUACAAUGGUCGAAAGACUGAUAGUGCGACGCCGCGUGAACGAAGAAGCCCUUCGGGGUGUAAAGUUCUUUUGCAGGGGAGAAAUAACCGAAUGGGAUGAUAGUACUCUGCGAAUAAGUCCCGGCUAACUACGUGACAGCAGCCGCGGUAAUCUGUAGUCGU